GGCACUUCAUUUCUAGACUGCUGGGAGGAAAUAAAAAGAGGGGUGAAUGAAAGUGAAGAAGGGAUUGAAAUGAUACAAUCAGUAGCGUUCAUUCUUCGGUAGCUUUGGAAGAACUGAAAUUUAGUCUCUUUUCAGAAUCAAAGUUUAUCUUUUUCAGCAAGUGUUAGCAGCUGCAGCCCACCAUCAAGAAGUCUUUUUGUUAGAACAGGAAGACUUUUUGUCAGUCCAAGAAGAAAGACCACAAUAUCAGAUUGCAAUAGCAGCACUUGUCUCCUCCUCCUAUAGGUAGGAUCAAGCACAACUUCGACGCAGCAGUUAAGAGUCAGAGUAAGACAUGUACAACCAGUGUGAUUGCCAGAGAC
rnacentral:misc_RNA from 1 species